AACGAACGCUGGCGGCAUGCCUAACACAUGCAAGUCGAACGAGACCUUCGGGUCUAGUGGCGCACGGGUGCGUAACGCGUGGGAACCUGCACUUAGGUUCGGCAUAACUCCCCGAAAGGGGUGCUAAUACCGGAUAAUGUCUUCGGACCAAAGAUUUAUCGCCUUUGGAUGGGCCCGCGUUGGAUUAGCUAGUUGGUAGGGUAAAAGCCUACCAAGGCGACGAUCCAUAGCUGGUCUGAGAGGAUGAUCAGCCACACUGGGACUGAGACACGGCCCAGACUCCUACGGGAGGCAGCAGUGGGGAAUAGUGGACAAUGGGCGAAAGCCUGAUCCAGCAAUGCCGCGUGAGUGAUGAAGGCCUUAGGGUUGUAAAGCUCUUUUACCCGGGAUGAUAAUGACAGUACCGGGAGAAUAAGCUCCGGCUAACUCCGUG
rnacentral:rRNA from 1 species